AGUGAACGCUGGCGGCGUGCCUAAUACAUGCAAGUCGAACGGAAUUUAAAAGAGCUUGCUCUUUUAAAUUUAGUGGCGCACGGGUGAGUAAUAUAUAGCUAAUCUGCCCCUUGCUGGAGGACAACAGUUAGAAAUGACUGCUAAUACUCCAUACUCCUUUUUACCAUAAGAUAAAUCGGGAAAGAAUUUCGGCAAGGGAUGAGACUAUAUCGUAUCAGCUAGUCGGUGGGGUAACGGCCUACCGAGGCUAUGACGCGUAACUGGUCUGAGAGGAUGAUCAGUCACAUUGGAACUGAGACACGGUCCAAACUCCUACGGGAGGCAGCAGUAGGGAAUAUUGCGCAAUGGGGGAAACCCUGACGCAGCAACGCCGCGUGGAGGAUGACACUUUUCGGAGCGUAAACUCCUUUUGUUAGGGAAGAAUAAAGACGGACCUAACGAAAGCCCCGG
rnacentral:rRNA from 1 species